GUCCCGCCUGCCCUGUGACUAUAUGUUUAACGGCCGCGGUAUUUUGACCGUGCGAAGGUAGCGCAAUCACUUGUCUUUUAAAUGGGGACCUGUAUGAAUGGCAUAACGAGGGCUUGACUGUCUCCUCUUUCAAGUCAAUGAAAUUGAUCUCCCCGUGCAGAAGCGGGGAUGAGCACAUAAGACGAGAAGACCCUAUGGAGCUUCAGACACUAAAGCAGGUCAACAUUAAUACCCCAAAAACGGGGCACGAAUAGACUGAACUCUGCCCUAAUGUCUUAGGUUGGGGCGACCGCGGAGUAAUAAAAAACCCCCGCAAGGACCGAAUGUAUAACAUUCACAACCAAGAGCGACAGCUCUAAUUAACAGAUAUUUCUGACCAAUAAGAUCCGGCAACGCCGAUCUAUGGACCAAGUUACCCUAGGGAUAACAGCGCAAUCUCCUCUUAGAGCCCGUAUCAACGAGGAGGUUUACGACCUCGAUGUUGGAUCAGGACAUCCUAAUGGUGCAGCCGCUAUUAAGGGUUCGUUUGUUCAACGAUUAAAG
rnacentral:rRNA from 1 species